rnacentral:lncRNA from 1 species
AUGGCGUGGUGGUCAUGUUUGGUGCUCAGCUAGUCGGGAGAGGCCUAUGUUAUCAGAGUUGGCAAAAUGAAGCCGUCAAGGAGUGGUAUCCCAUCGUCGACUAGCGUAGUCGGCCGUACGUCGAAUAGAAAGUCGGUUACAGGCUGAGCACUAUUGAGUAUAAGCGGCUGUGGGGUGGCAUGUUAACUCUAAUCGGCCUGGUGCCGACCAAGAGUGAGCUGCCUUUAGUCGGUCGGGUACUGUUAGAGGCUGUCAUUGAGCCGAUUGGACAGGACUCAUUGAUCUG